AUGAGGAAAGGCCUGUCCUCCCUCAUCAUCCUCACCGCUUGGUGGAUUUGGAAGCAUAGAAACAGUUGCACCUUCGACGGGGACCAACCCUCUGUCUCCCACCUGUGCUCCACCAUCAAGGACAAAGCGCGCCUUUGGGCCCAGGUCGGCACCGCCGUGAUCACCAACAUCAUCCCAGAUAAGGAUGGCAAUGGGUAG
rnacentral:rRNA from 1 species